CCUACGUGAGGCAGCAGUGAGGAAUAUUGGUCAAUGGGCUUACGCCUGAACCAGCCAAGUCGCGUGAGGGAAGACUGCCCUAUGGGUUGUAAACCUCUUUUGUCAGGGAGCAACGCCGGCUACGUGUAGCCGGACUGAGAGUACCUGAAGAAAAAGCAUCGGCUAACUCCGUGCCAGCAGCCGCGGUAAUACGGAGGAUGCGAGCGUUAUCCGGAUUUAUUGGGUUUAAAGGGUGCGUAGGCGGAAUGCCAAGUCAGCGGUAAAAUCGCGGGGCUCAACCUCGCUCCGCCGUUGAAACUGGCGUUCUUGAGUGGGCUAGAAGUAUGCGGAAUGCGUGGUGUAGCGGUGAAAUGCAUAGAUAUCACGCAGAACUCCGAUUGCGAAGGCAGCAUACCGGCGCCCAACUGACGCUGAAGCACGAAAGCGUGGGUAUCGAACAGGAUUAGAUACCCCAGUAGUC
rnacentral:rRNA from 1 species